rnacentral:lncRNA from 1 species
AUGAAAGCCGUUUGCUACGCUGUGAGCUCCAGUCUUUAAGUCUCAUGUAGAAAAUUGUGAAACUUAAAACAGAGGACUGUUAGUAAAACUAAAAAAAAAGGGAUUCGAGAACAUACCUCAAUAGUGUUAGGUUGUGAGCAGCGGUCUUUGAGUCUCAUGAAUGAAAAAAAAAAACUAAAAUUACUAAGGGAAGUCAUUUAGUAAACCGAAAAGGAAGUAAAAUUCGAGAACAGAACAGACUAGAUUAGUGCUGAGUUGUGAGUUGCAGUCUUCAAGUCUCAUAUAGAAAAACCUGAAAUUAUAAACCGGUAGCUAGUUAGCAAACAGAAAAAGGCGUAAUAUUCAAGAAGAUACCUGCCUAGUGCGGGGCUGAGAAUUGCAGCCUUGGGGUCUAGUGUAGAAAAAUUUGUACUUUAAAACGAAAGUUGGUUAGUAAGUAGAACACACCAACUACAUCUGGGCUGUGAUAAGCUGUAGGUAUCAAGUCUCAUGUAGAAGAAAAAAAUGAAAUUUUAAGUUCUUGGUAAACUUAAAAUGAAGUAACCUAAAAGGCAUCAUUAACAAACCUGCAGUUGGAUUGUCAAUAGCAGCCCGUAAGUCCGAUGUAGAAAUGCCUGAAAUAAAACAGAAAAGAAAGUAGAAUAGUAAAACUGAAAGGAAGCAUGAUUCCAAAAAAUACCCGACUAUUUCUGGGUUGUGAGCUGCAGACGGUUGUAAUGUGUUUUAUUUAAGAUAUGCAAAUCAUGUAGCCGUUAUAAAGAUCGAGUGUCUGCUGGUUUGAUAUUCUGGAUCUAACAGAUACG